AUGAGCUUGGCGUAAAGGUAAAUAAAAACAUGUUGUGACGUAAUGCGGAAGUGAUAUCGAUUGCUUGAAAAAUGGAUUUUUCUCAAAUUACAGUGAACAAGUUAUUGUGAGGUAGUCUGAUUACUUUAGAGCCGCCAGAUUGUGUAUUUCAACAACUUUUUCAUGAACCACAGAAACUUCAUUACUGAAUUGUAGGACCAGACAUUGUGAGAAAGUUUGAUUGCAUUUAAGAACUGCCAGAGCUACAGCUAGAAAAGAAACUUUAAACAAUUUCUUUUCAUGAUCUGCUUAAUUGAUCUCCACAUUGAAUUGUCAACCUGUAUGCUUCAUUGUAUAAUGACGUUGAACAAAUAAAGAUACUGCAGUCAGUGUUACAACCUUCAUUAAACAAAAUGAAUUGAUGUUACAGAAAUGGAUAACAUAUAGAGACAAACACUUUCAGGCUACAGAAACUACACAUUGUUUGAGACUACGAGAAUGUUUUACUUGCAUGAUGGAACUCAUACCACAAAGAAAGAACUUGCUUUUUUUUCUUAUAACAAGUCCUCAAAAACAUACUCAAGUAAACUACAACAGGAAAGAAAGCGAACAAAGUUGAUUCAGGAUUUAGAAUUGAAUGUUUUUGUGUGUGAAAACCCUGGAUAAAAGGAUUUUAAUUUCAAGGAUUUGAAUUAGUAUGUCAAGGACUUAUUUGUUUUUAAUUCAUCACACAAGUUAUUGACAAUGAUCUAAAAUAUAAAUAGGAUGUAUAAAUACAGACUUUCAUACCUAACUGAAAUAAUGUUGAACUCAACAGAAUAAACAACUAUCAUUUUAAAAACCUAUUUUAUAAUAUAUUACUUCAUUUUUUUACUUAUCAUUGAUAGAAUCUAUUAUCUAAUAAAUCUUUACAAUGUUUCAGGUACUCACCAUGAUUAAGCUAUUUUGAAAUAAUUACAGGACUGAUAUUAUA